rnacentral:rRNA from 1 species
GAUGAACGCUGGCGGCGUGCCUAAUACAUGCAAGUCGAGCGAACGGACGAGAAGCUUGCUUCUCUGAUGUUAGCGGCGGACGGGUGAGUAACACGUGGAUAACCUACCUAUAAGACUGGGAUAACUUCGGGAAACCGGAGCUAAUACCGGAUAAUAGUUUGAACCGCAUGGUUCAAAAGUGAAAGACGGUCUUGCUGUCACUUAUAGAUGGAUCCGCGCUGCAUUAGCUAGUUGGUAAGGUAACGGCUUACCAAGGCAACGAUGCAUAGCCGACCUGAGAGGGUGAUCGGCCACACUGGAACUGAGACACGGUCCAGACUCCUACGGGAGGCAGCAGUAGGGAAUCUUCCGCAAUGGGCGAAAGCCUGACGGAGCAACGCCGCGUGAGUGAUGAAGGUCUUCGGAUCGUAAAACUCUGUUAUUAGGGAAGAACAUAUGUGUAAGUAACCGUGCACAUCUUGACGGUACCUAAUCAGAAAGCCACGGCUAACUACGUG